GGAAAAAAAUAUCUCAAAUUAAAAAAUAACAAUGAAAAAGUCAGGCUCAAUGUCAUUAAUAUCCAAAUGUAAGAAGCCUAUGGAUAGUAAACUGAUAUUUUAAUGUACUAGGAUAUGUAAGGAAGUUCUUAUCCUGGCCAUCUGUACCUAAAUUGGUUUUGGAAUAUUCAGUUUUAUCUUUAGGAGCCUGGUCCAUCAGCUGCCCUCAGUCAAGCACUGCUGACUGAACAUUGUGUGUGCAUAUGCAGCCCCUCCAUGGAGCACUCUGCUCAUGUGGAUACCCUCUUCAAGAACUUCAUGAUGAUGUCUGGUCACUUGUUCAACAACAAUGUUCCUAUGUGGUUUACAAGAAAGAAGAGAAUAAUCCAGCGUCAGGCAGUGUCAGCUAAAAAAAGAAUCCCUGAAGAAGUUUACUUCCAGGAUGGCUGGAUGGUCAGAGAUCUUCACUGAACUGACAGGUAAAAAUGGCUCUUGUCAUGACUGUUCAUGUCUGGGAGCUCAGGUCCUGCCCGAGGCUCUCUGAGCUCUGGCAGGGCAGAUGCACCUCUCCAAGGUCUGGGGCUUGCAGCUCCUGGGGAGUGCAGCCUUCAGAGGCUCUCAGACUCAUCUGCAGAUGAAUUAACUUUCAGCCUCAAAGCAGAGUGCAAUGAUUUUAAUGACACAUAGUUGGAGAGGCUAAAAUAUUGUAAUUUCCUAUCACAUG
rnacentral:lncRNA from 1 species